rnacentral:rRNA from 1 species
UACGUAGGUGGCAAGCGUUGUUCGGAAUUAUUGGGCGUAAAGGGCGCGUAGGCGGCUUUGUAAGUCGGGGGUGAAAGCCUGUGGCUCAACCACAGAAUUGCCUUCGAUACUGCAUGGCUUGAGACCGGAAGAGGUUAGUGGAACUGCGAGUGUAGAGGUGAAAUUCGUAGAUAUUCGGAAGAACACCAGUGGCGAAGGCGGCUCACUGGUCCGGUACUGACGCUGAGGUGCGAAAGCGUGGGGAGCAAACAGG